rnacentral:rRNA from 1 species
CUGUAGGCUGCAACUCGCCUACACGAAGUCGGAAUCGUUAGUAAUCGCGGAUCAGCAUGCCGCGGUGAAUACGUUCCCGGGCCUUGUACACACCGCCCGUCACACCAUGGGAGUUUGUAACGCCCAAAGUCGGUGGCCUAACCUUUAUGGAGGGAGCCGCCUAAGGCGGGACAGAUGACUGGGGUGAAGUCGUAACAAGGUAAC